UGGGGAAUUUUGGACAAUGGGCGAAAGCCUGAUCCAGCAAUGCCGCGUGUGUGAAGAAGGCCUUCGGGUUGUAAAGCACUUUUGUCCGGAAAGAAAUCCUUGGCUCUAAUACAGUCGGGGGAUGACGGUACCGGAAGAAUAAGCACCGGCUAACUACGUGCCAGCAGCCGCGGUAAUACGUAGGGUGCAAGCGUUAAUCGGAAUUACUGGGCGUAAAGCGUGCGCAGGCGGUUUGCUAAGACCGAUGUGAAAUCCCCGGGCUCAACCUGGGAACUGCAUUGGUGACUGGCAGGCUAGAGUAUGGCAGAGGGGGGUAGAAUUCCACGUGUAGCAGUGAAAUGCGUAGAGAUGUGGAGGAAUACCGAUGGCGAAGGCAGCCCCCUGGGCCAAUACUGACGCUCAUGCACGAAAGCGUGGGGAGCAAACAGGAUUAGAUACCCUGGUAGUCCACGCCCUAAACGAUGUCAACUAGUUGUUGGGGAUUCAUUUCCUUAGUAACGUAGCUAACGCGUGAAGUUGACCGCCUGGGGAGUACGGUCGCAAGAUUAAAACUCAAAGGAAUUGACGGGGUCAAU
rnacentral:rRNA from 1 species